UACGGAGGGGGCUAGCGUUGUUCGGAAUUACUGGGCGUAAAGCGCACGUAGGCGGCUUUGUAAGUUAGAGGUGAAAGCCCGGAGCUCAACUCCGGAACUGCCCUUAAGACUGCAUCGCUUGAAUCAUGGAGAGGUCAGUGGAAUUCCGAGUGUAGAGGUGAAAUUCGUAGAUAUUCGGAAGAACACCAGUGGCGAAGGCGACUGACUGGACAUGUAUUGACGCUGAGGUGCGAAAGCGUGGGGAGCAAACAGG
rnacentral:rRNA from 1 species